rnacentral:rRNA from 1 species
UACGUAGGGGGCUAGCGUUGUCCUGAUUUAUUGGGCGUAAAGAGCGUGUAGGCGGCCAGGUAGGUCUGCUGUGAAAACUCGAGGCUCAACCUCGAGACGUCGGCGGAAACCAUCUGGCUAGAGUCCGGAAGAGGAGAGUGGAAUUCCUGGUGUAGCGGUGAAAUGCGCAGAUAUCAGGAAGAACACCCGUGGCGAAGGCGGCUCUCUGGGACGGUACUGACGCUGAGACGCGAAAGCGUGGGGAGCGAACAGG